ACUAGAAUUACCAUUGUGUCUAUUUCUUGGUUCUGCUUCUAGGGGAAAAGAAAGGCAGUCCGAGGAACUCAGGAUGGCGUUUUCUCCAUAAGUCAGAAGUUAACACAUGCGAUUUUGCUGUUAUUUCUUUAAAAAUGUUUUAGUGGUGGUUGAAUCUUGAAGAAUGAAAUGUUCUGGCCGUCGGACUGGAUUUAAUCACUAUUUUGCUGUACUAGGCUUCUCCUGCCUUUCUGGAACCCAGUUGCUGGGGAAUUUAGCUGCUGACAGAAAGUCAGGACUCAGUAACAUAAAUAUCUCCUCGUAUGCUGCCUUUGGAGGCUCGUGAGUCAGAGUGCAGCGUGUGUCACAGGGACGAUUUCAUUCCACCACCCGGCGUCGGGAAAUAGAUCGUCUGUGGGCUGUGACCGAAGUUGGGACAAGUACUGGCAACGACAAUCUGCUGUACGGUUUUCAAAGCAGAGCGAAGGAAGCUUUACUAAGGAAAGGUCAUCUGAAAUCAGAAAUGACUUUCCAAAGAACUGUCCGUUCGCUCCAUCUCAAAAUCUGGACAAGCCUAAGACAGCAGGACAUCGCCAGGAGCGUUGUUCUGCAGCUGAUCCGAGCCCUAAAAGGCAGAGAGGGUGACAGGAGACGGCUUCUCUUUGCAGUAGGAAAGGGGGGUAGAAUUUUCUGAGUUGCUUCGGCAGGAGGAGGAUCCGGUUAGAGAAAUUCCACAUAGAAAUAGUCUCCCCUCCGCCAACACCCCCCACACGCGAUGAGGAGAAAGCGGACAGACAUAAACUGAGCCCCUGUACAACCCCCAGCCCUGUCCCCCCUGCCUCCCAUGGGGUCCUCCCGGUAGCGUCCCGGUGCUACCGGGAAGCAUUUGGGAAGAAUCAGCCCAGCGCCCUUGGAGCCCGCGGCUCCCACGGCCCUCGCCCGCGUCACUCUCCCUCCCCGCGCUCCAGGCGCGCGCCGGCCUUCACCUUGAUCCGCACGUAGCAGUGGGUGCCCAGGGAGGGGUCGCUGAGGCACGCGGGCGGGUGUGCCCGGGCCGUCCGGCGGAAGGUCUGCGCCGGUGCCUUUCCGAUGCUCCACAAAAGUUUGAGCAGGUGGACGGAGGCGCACAGCCCGCAGUAGCCAUACACCAGGGACCAGUAGAGCAGGGCGCGCAGCGCGGGCACCAGGCGAGCCGGGCGCGGCGGGGCCAUGGGGCGGC